rnacentral:rRNA from 1 species
CGAGGGGUGCAAGCGUUGCUCGGAAUUAUUGGGCGUAAAGGGUAGGUAGGUGGUCUCAUUUGUCAGGGGUGAAAGCCUUGGGCUUAACCCAAGAAGUGCCCCUGAAACGGUGAGACUGGAGUCCUGGAGAGGGUCGUGGAAUUCCCGGUGUAGCGGUGAAAUGCGUAGAGAUCGGGAGGAACACCAGAGGCGAAGGCGGCGACCUGGACAGGUACUGACACUCAACUACGAAAGCGUGGGGAGCAAACAGGAUUAGAUACCCUGGUAGUCCACGCUGUAAACGAUGGGAACUAGGUUUGGUGGGUCUUGACCCCCGCGAGCCGUAGCUAACGCGAUAAGUUCCCCGCCUGGGAAGUACGGUCGCAAGACUA